UACGUAGGGGGCGAGCGUUGUCCGAAGUUACUGGGCGUAAAGCGCGCGUAGGCGGUUAAUUAAGUCUGUGGUGAAAGGUUCAGCGCUCAACGCGAACAUUGCCCUGGAUACUGGUUGACUUGAGUCUGGGAGGGGGUAGUGGAAUUCCUGGUGUAGCGGUGAAAUGCGUAGAUAUCAGGAGGAACACCGGUGGCGAAGGCGACUACCUGGCCUAAGACUGACGCUGAGGUGCGAAAGCGUGGGGAGCGAACGGGAUUAGAUACCCUAGUAGU
rnacentral:rRNA from 1 species